GUUGAAUUGGCAGAUUAGUGCUUUAAAUUUAGAAUUUAAAAAUGUAAGAUUUACAUUCAAUA
rnacentral:tRNA from 1 species